CAGCGGCUGCUUUACCAUGCAAGUCGAACGGCAGCGGGGGCUUCGGCCUGCCGGCGAGUGGCGAACGGGUGAGUAAUGCAUCGGAACGUGCCCAGUCAUGGGGGAUAACUACGCGAAAGCGUAGCUAAUACCGCAUACGCCCUGAGGGGGAAAGUGGGGGAUCUUCGGACCUCACGUGAUUGGAGCGGCCGAUGUCAGAUUAGCUAGUUGGUGAGGUAAAGGCUCACCAAGGCGACGAUCUGUAGCGGGUCUGAGAGGAUGAUCCGCCACACUGGGACUGAGACACGGCCCAGACUCCUACGGGAGGCAGCAGUGGGGAAUUUUGGACAAUGGGCGCAAGCCUGAUCCAGCCAUGCCGCGUGAGUGAAGAAGGCCUUCGGGUUGUAAAGCUCUUUCGCAAGGGAAGAAAACGUGUGGGCUAAUAUCCUGCGCGGAUGACGGUACCUUGACAAGAAGCACCGGCUAACUACGUGCCAGCAGCCGCGGUAAUACGUAGGGUGCGAGCGUUAAUCGGAAUUACUGGGCGUAAAGCGUGCGCAGGCGGUUGUGUAAGACAGGUGUGAAAUCCCCGGGCUUAACCUGGGAACUGCGCUUGUGACUGCACGGCUAGAGUACGGCAGAGGGGGGUGGAAUUCCUGGUGUAGCAGUGAAAUGCGUAGAUAUCAGGAGGAACACCGAUGGCGAAGGCAGCCCCCUGGGCCUGUACUGACGCUCAUGCACGAAAGCGUGGGGAGCAAACAGGAUUAGAUACCCUGAUAGUCCACGCCCUAAACGAUGUCAACUAGUGUUUCGUAGAGGUAACUCUGUGAGUAACGCAGCU
rnacentral:rRNA from 1 species